UACGUAGGGUGCGAGCGUUGUUCGGAAUCACUGGGCGUAAAGGGCGCGCAGGCGGUUUGUUCAGUCAGAUGUGAAAGCCCACGGCUUAACCGUGGAAGUGCAUUUGAAACUGGCAGACUUGAGUACCAGAGGGGAAGGUGGAAUUCCCGGUGUAGAGGUGAAAUUCGUAGAUAUCGGGAGGAAUACCGGUGGCGAAGGCGACUUUCUGGCUGGAUACUGACGCUGAGGCGCGAAAGCGAGGGGAGCAAACAGG
rnacentral:misc_RNA from 1 species